rnacentral:rRNA from 1 species
AUUGAACGCUGGCGGCAGGCUUAACACAUGCAAGUCGAACGAGUGGGGGACGGGUGAGUAAUGCUUGGGAAUCUAGCUGAUGGAGGGGGAUAACUACGGGAAACUGUAGCUAAUACCGCGUACAAUAGGAUGAGCCCAAGGGGGAUUAGGUAGUUGGGGAGGUAAAGGCUCACCAAGCCGACGAUCUCUAGCUGGUCUGAGAGGAUGACCAGCCACACUGGGACUGAGCCACGGCCCAGACUCCUACGUGAGGCAGCAGUGGGGAAUAUUGCGCGAUGGAGGCAACCUGACUCAGCCAUGCCGCGUGAAUGAAGAAGGCCUUCGAGUUGUAAAGUUCUUUCGGUAGCGAGGCGUUAACUACAGAAGAUGCACCGGCUAGCUCCGUGCCAGCAGUCGCGGUAAUAC